CAGGGAUUGCCUCAGUAACGGCGAGUGAAGCGGCAAUAGCUCAAAUUUGAAAGCUGGCUCCUUCGGGGCCCGCGUUGUAAUUUGUAGAGGAUGUUUCGGGCGCGGCGCCGGUCUAAGUUCUUUGGAACAAGACGUCAUAGAGGGUGAGAAUCCCGUAUGUGACUGGUGGCCUGUGCCCAUGUGAAACUCCUUCGACGAGUCGAGUUGUUUGGGAAUGCAGCUCAAAAUGGGAGGUGUAUUUCUUCUAAAGCUAAAUAUUGGCCAGAGACCGAUAGCGCACAAGUAGAGUGAUCGAAAGAUGAAAAGCACUUUGGAAAGAGAGUUAAACAGUACGUGAAAUUGUUGAAAGGGAAGCGCUUGCAAUCAGACUUGCGCGGCGUCGAUCAACCUGGGUUCUCCCUGGUGCACUCGGCGUCGCUCAGGCCAGCAUCAGUUUCGGCGGUGGGAUAAAGGCCUGGGGAACGUGAGUCGCUUCGGCGACUGUUAUAGCCCUAGGUGCAAUGCUGCCUGCCGGGACUGAGGACCGCGCUUCGGCUAGGAUGCUGGCGUAAUGGUUGUAAGCGACCCGUCUUGAAACACGGACCAAGGAGUCGUGCUAUUAUGCGAGUGUUUGGGUGUUAAACCCAUACGCGGAAUGAAAGUGAACGGAGGUGAGAACCCUUAAGGGUGCAUCAUCGACCGAUCCUGAUGUCUUCGGAUGGAUUUGAGUAAGAGCAUAAUGGCCCGGACCCGAAAGAUGGUAAAGUUCAGCCAUCGAGAACAGUGUUCGUUACGCUGUUAGUCGGCGUUGACGCCGGCGACACGCCCAAGGUGCGGCAAGGGCCUGGAAUUUCCAGGUCAAUCCGCAGCCCGCCUCUCUGGAGGUGGGUUCAGAGACUCAAUAGGCGUGGGUCUGGCUUCGGCCAGGCUUGAGAUAGAGCCCAGCCCAGCUGGCAAUCGCUGGGGGCAACUGGAACUAUGCCUGAAUAGGGUGAAGCCAGGGGAAACCCUGGUGGAGGCUCGCAGAGGUUCUGACGUGCAAAUCGAUCUUCAAAUUUGGGUAUAGGGGCGAAAGACUAAUCGAACCAUUGGAAAACCUACCUUCUAGGUGGUUGAGAGGCCCUCCGCGGAGGGUCUAGUCGCCUCGGCGGCAAUACUGCAAAAUUGCGGGGACAGCUCUACAGACGCAGGCUACCACAGCGGGCACGAAAGUGCUCGCCACGGUUACAAGGCCCGGCGACUGAGCCGAUUCGCAACCCCGCGCCUACCGUCUCACGACCACGGCGCAGGGCUCAUCGACUAGAUGGCAGUAGGCACGCUCGCGUGUCUAAGGUAUAGUCAGACCGCGGCGGACGUACGCUGCGGGCUACG
rnacentral:rRNA from 1 species